rnacentral:tRNA from 3 species
GCCGGGGUAGCUCAGCCUGGUUAGAGUGCCAGACUCAUAAUCUGGAGGUCGUGGGUUCGAAACCCAUCCCCGGCA